GGGUGGCACCGCGACAGUCGCGUCCCGGGGGCCUCGUCCUCGCCACCUCCCCGCUGCGGGCCGGGGCACUCGGGGCUUCCUGCCCUCAGAACUGUGCCCUGGGUGUGCACGUGGGGCCGAGGGUCCCCUGGCCUGGGCGAGGGUGCAGGGACCCGAAACUGGGUGACUCUUCCCGGUCCCGGUGUGGCUGUCCUGUAACCAUGACGACUGCGGGCUUUGGCACGUGGAUGUGGAUGCAGAGCCUGAAGGCAGGGAUUGGGCAGGUGGUGCAGGGUGAGGGGCCCCUGGGGACGGACCUGCUGGGAGCUGCAGCUGCCCCGAGCUGGGCUCCCUGUGCGUGGUGACAGGGCCUUUGCAGCUGGGGACCAGGUGAUGGACGGUCAGGGGCGGGGAGGGGCCUUGUCCGUGGGCAGGGAGCACAGGAAGUCGAUGUGGGCGAGAUAGGAAGAGCUGAGAGGCCGCAGAGGCGUUAAAUGGCUCCGACUGACUGGGCGGCCACACUCGGAUGGAAUUUACCCAUUUAGGAAGUUUCCCACUUCAGGACAGGACGUUUGUCGAACACCUGUUGUGUCCCAUGUGCUUUGUACAGUAGCAGGAUUAAUAAUCCUUGCAAUGGCCCCCACAUGUUAUUACUCUCUUCUUGAUGCAAGAGGGAGCACCCAAGGUUUACAGUGUGUUGUCCCACUUUGGCUUUCUGUUCUAAACAGUUACAGCUCCGGAAACUCAUGUUGAUAGCUAGAUGGACUAAGCAGCCACCCUCAUUCUAAAGCUGAGGAUAGAGGGUCUGAGGUGUGGACUGCGGAGACCCUGGGUAGCAGAGUUCUGCCUGCAGGGGGUCUCUGUCGGCCACCUCAGAAAACAGCUCCCACCGAGGUGAAGACCUUUCCAGCUCCGGGGUGUGGCUGUCCCCCGAAUGGAGCGUCUCUGUGCAGGGCACGCAAGGCCUCGGGGCAUGUGGAGUCCCCGGAACUGGAACGUGUGGGCAGCGUGGGUGACCUGUGCUUGCACAGGCCUCGUUGUGUCUGUCACCUGUUGGAUCACAGGCGCUCCGACCAGGUCUGCACACCAGGAAGCAAAGGAACAUGGCUCAUUCCCAGGGAAUCCAGGAGCGUGCAGAGACUCCUGAAGAAAGCCGGGGAUUGUUGUCUUAGACGUCACUGUGAGGAUUGGUGGGGACCGUCUGCUGUCCAGGUUUUACAGAGGGCAGGAUUCUGGCAGAAGCUCGGUGCCUGGGCAGGAACACUGUGCUCACAUGUGUGCUUGGAGCAUGUUGAAUGCAUGUGCUUUCAGUAGACGAUGUGUCGGUAUCAGCAAGGCCAAAUGUCUCACAAAUGUUUCCCGUCACCAGACAAACCGUGGCCUGCGCCUGAGGACACACGUGGGUCUGCAGCUGCUGCGCUGUCCGCGUGCGGCGGUGUGCGAUGACCUUUCCUUCCCCGGGAGCCCUCCGUGACCCCUCCACCCCACGAAGCUCCUUCGCCCCUCACCUCCAAUCGCUGCAUGUCCACCCAGGCGAGGCUGCCUGGAGCGACACUUGCCACCUGCAUCCUCCCUGUGAAAGCUCUGUCUCCCAGGCACCGAGGCCCAGGCCUGCUCCCUCCUGCCCGCGAGGCUGUAUCUGGAGGAAAAGGCCGAACGCUGUCAUCUCGGUCUCUGUCUCCGUAUUCCCCGCACGUAUGGCCACGACCCUUUCUGGCUGCAGACGCUCCCCACUGCUGUCUAAGCCCUGCUUAUGCCCUAAAUGAGAAGCGGACCUCUCAGAGCCCAGCACUCCACUCCUCGUGCUCCUCCCAGCGGCCCCGAGGCAGGGGCGGAUUCCAGUCACAACCAAACCUCAGCGUCUGCUUCCAGUGGCUGCGACUUCACACAACGUUUUGCCGCUCCAUUCUGUGCGAAGGAAACCCCAUUUCCACAAUCCCCUACUCAGAAUUCUAUGCUAAGAUUUUAAAUUUGAGAACAAUUGAGCAGUCAGUUUUCUAACUCAGUCAGCUUUGGUACACUCAUGUUGAGGUGACACUUUUGUGCCUUCAGCACUUGUGCCUUUUACACAAGUAACAAACCCCAGUGCCUGAUGCCACUGACAUCUAGUGAAUUAACACCAGUAUCCUGAUUUUUUCCAUGACAUAAGAACAGGUAUUGGUUGUUGAAGCUUGAUAAGUUAGGACACAGAAUGCGGAUUUUAUUCCAUAGGAGAUGGGAACCGCCGGAAGACUGCAGCUGCACAGUAACUAAGGAGGGACUCAGUGCGUCAGGAAGGUGGCCUAGGGAUCGUUUUCAAGGAGAGCAACUAAGGAAGCCUAGGCGUAAGUGUGCUAAGGGCCGGGCUGCUGCAGCACUGAUGAGGACAGAAAAGGAGACUGGAGAAUUAGAAGGAAGAAUUCCCCAGAAGGUUAUGUCAUAUUUGCCUGCUGUUGAUUUGCCAUUUUCCCUGCUGCACAUUUGAAGGGUCCUUGCUCUCACGGAAACUUCGACCUCAGCCCGACAUGGGCUGUCUUACCUUUCUGGCAGAACCUGGUGCGUACAUCUGAACUGCACACCCUCACUGACCUCAGACUUCUCACUGCCUGUCCAUGGCUUCUGAAAUCCAUCGUGGAGCACGCAGCACCUCCCGCAGUGUCAGGUCUCGGGUCAUGCUGGCCUCCACAGGAUGGGGAGGUCCCCUCGUCCUUCCUGCUGGAGGAAGAUAGCUAUUUCAGGGAGGCAGAGUCUGUGCAGACUCCGACUUCCAGACUCAUGCCAUGGAACCAGGAAGGGAAGCCAUGCCUCUGCGUACUCAGUGUAAGCGUGGAAGAGUGGACAGAUAUCUGUUGCUACUCAUCUCUAACAUUUGGUGAGGCAUUGCUCGGGCUACUCAUCCUGAGUGGAAUUCCUUCCCCUUCUUUCCUUAGCAGUUUGGUAUCCUGAUUUUCAGAAACCAGUUCAGACUUCAUCUCUGCCAGAUACCAAUCCAGAAGACGUAAAUCCCGAACCUAUAGUCACACAUCUCUCACCUUCACGAAGACAGUUUAGUUUAAAUUAUUUUCUGUGGCAAAUUCAUCUCCUCAGAAAGCCUGGAGCAGACGCUGAGGUCCAGGUCUCCCCUCCUUUCUCCUCGAAGCCCUUCAUAGCAAUCGUUACUGCUGCUAAUGAAAUAGCAAAUCUAAGGAGAGCUUUGGGAGCUGAGAUUAGGAUCCUGAGGCAUAUGUAGAGCUAGAAAUAGCACUUUGUGUACAUAAGUAAUGGCGUGGCUUCUCAGGCACUUUUUCCUCAGUGUUGGUCAUGCAUAAUCAGCGGUGGUGGGACAAUUAUCUCUUUCUCAGACAAAAACAUCUAAAUAUGCCUUUAAGGUAUCAAUAGUGUUUUAGUUUUUUAAAAUGUGUUAUGACAAUGAUGAAUUUUUUAUCAUCAUACUAGUAAGCUAAUGAGCUAUGAAAAUUCUCCAAGCACUCUAUUUUGCCUCUUUGUUACCAGUUUAUAUAUGCUUUAGAUUAUCUGCAUUCAAAAGGCCAUCUCCUAAGGGCCAAAUCUACUGCAUGAAAGUAGCAUACCGCAGUUCAGAAAGCAGAAUUCCGAAGCUCAGUGUCACAGCCUGCCUGCACCGAACAUCCACACGCAACUCUGGAAUGCCUCCAGCAGUGCAUGUUUUGUUAAAACUUGUUUAACAGAACUGGUAACAGAGGGUUUUUUGUUUGCUUCUUUGUUCAUUUUGUUUAAUUCUAGUAGUGGAAACAAUUGGUGUGUAGCCCUGACCAGCUGAUCUCAGGAUACCUAUUUGGAAAUCCCUCUGAUUGGGAAAAUAGUAAUAAUAAAAUAUGUUUUGUCUAGUUUGCCUCAUGGACUCAUGGCAUUACAGAACAACACAAACAAAAAGGCCCAGAGAAGCUCUAGUCCAAACUGUUAAUUUUAUGGAGAGGGCUGGGUGUGAGUGAUGU
rnacentral:lncRNA from 1 species